UCAGUAACUGGAAUCUGUCCCUGCGUGGUAAAAGUGUGCAGGGCCUGGCUGGUUACUGCACC
ensembl:miRNA